GACGAACGCUGGCGGCGUGCUUAACACAUGCAAGUCGAACGGUGAUGGGCCGGCUUGCCGGUCUUGAUCAGUGGCGAACGGGUGAGUAACACGUGAGCAACCUGCCCUCGACUCCGGGAUAACCACCGGAAACGGUGGCUAAUACUGGAUAUGACCUUCCGCCGCAUGGUGGGGGGUGGAAAGUUUUUCGGUCGGGGAUGGGCUCGCGGCCUAUCAGCUUGUUGGUGGGGUGAUGGCCCACCAGGGCGACGACGGGUAGCCGGCCUGAGAGGGUGACCGGCCACACUGGGACUGAGACACGGCCCAGACUCCUACGGGAGGCAGCAGUGGGGAAUAUUGCGCAAUGGGCGGAAGCCUGACGCAGCGACGCCGCGUGAGGGAUGAAGGCCUUCGGGUUGUAAACCUCUUUCAGCUCCGAAGAAGCGAGAGUGACGGUAGGAGCAGAAGAAGCACCGGCUAACUACGUGCCAGCCGCCGCAGUAACAC
rnacentral:rRNA from 1 species